GGUCCUUUAAAUUUUUUAACCUUUCUUCGUAACUAAAAUGCUCCAUUCCUUUUAUCAGUUUUGUAGCUCGUCUCUGCACUUUUUCUAGUGCCAUGAUAUCCUUCUUUAGAACAGGUGCCCAAAUUGCACAGCAUAUUCAGGGUGUGGUCUUACCAGCGAUUUAUAAAGAGGCCAAAUUAUAUUUUCAUCUCGAGAAUUUAUGCCCCUAUUUAUACAUGACAAAACCUUACUGGCCUUAGCAACUGCAGAUUGAUAUUGCAUAUUGCUGCCUAAUUUGUUGUCUAUAACAAUUCCCAAAUCCUUCUCGUGUGUGGUUAUCCCUAAUUCACUACCAUUUAG